CAAGACCUCGCGCGGAUGGAUAAGCCGAUGUCGGAUUAGCUAGUUGGCGGGGUAAAGGCCCACCAAGGCGACGAUCCGUAGCUGGUCUGAGAGGAUGAUCAGCCACACUGGGACUGAGACACGGCCCAGACUCCUACGGGAGGCAGCAGUGGGGAAUAUUGGACAAUGGGGGCAACCCUGAUCCAGCAAUGCCGCGUGUGUGAAGAAGGCCUUCGGGUUGUAAAGCACUUUUAUCAGGAACGAAACACGCAGAUCUAAUACGUCUGCGGACUGACGGUACCUGAGGAAUAAGCACCGGCUAACUUCGUGCCAGCAGCCGCGGUAAUACGAAGGGUGCAAGCGUUACUCGGAAUUACUGGGCGUAAAGGGUGCGUAGGUGGUCGUUUAAGUCCGUUGUGAAAUCCCUGGGCUCAACCUGGGAAUGGCAGUGGAUACUGGACGGCUAGAAUGCGGUAGAGGGUAGUGGAAUUCCCGGUGUAGCAGUGAAAUGCGUAGAGAUCGGGAGGAACACCAGUGGCGAAGGCGG
rnacentral:rRNA from 1 species